rnacentral:rRNA from 1 species
UCCUACGGGGCGCAGCAGUGAGGAAUAUUGGUCAAUGGGCUUACGCCUGAACCAGCCAAGUCGCGUGAGGGAAGACUGCCCUAUGGGUUGUAAACCUCUUUUGUCAGGGAGCAACGCCGGCUACGUGUAGCCGGACUGAGAGUACCUGAAGAAAAAGCAUCGGCUAACUCCGUGCCAGCAGCCGCGGUAAUACGGAGGAUGCGAGCGUUAUCCGGAUUUAUUGGGUUUAAAGGGUGCGUAGGCGGGCUGUUAAGUCAGCGGUCAAAUGUCGGGGCUCAACCCCGGCCUGCCGUUGAAACUGGCGG